rnacentral:misc_RNA from 1 species
UUUCCGUAGGUGAACCUGCGGAAGGAUCAUUUUCAUGACCCUGACCAAAACAGACCGCGCACGCGUCAUCCAAUCCACCGGCGACGGCACCGUCCGUCACUCGGCCAAGUCCUCGACCGCCUCCCCUCCUCGGAGUGGGGGCUCGGGGUAAAAGAACCCAUGGCGCUGAAGGCGUCAAGGAACACUGUGCCUAACCCGGGGGCAUGGCUAGCCUGCUAGUCGUCCCAUGUUUUGCAAAGCUAUUUAAUCCACACGACUCUCGGCAACGGAUAUCUCGGCUCUC